rnacentral:rRNA from 1 species
AGCGGCGGACGGGUGAGUAAUGCCUAGGAAAUUGCCCUGAUGUGGGGGAUAACCAUUGGAAACGAUGGCUAAUACCGCAUGAUGCCUACGGGCCAAAGAGGGGGACCUUCGGGCCUCUCGCGUCAGGAUAUGCCUAGGUGGGAUUAGCUAGUUGGUGAGGUAAGGGCUCACCAAGGCGACGAUCCCUAGCUGGUCUGAGAGGAUGAUCAGCCACACUGGAACUGAGACACGGUCCAGACUCCUACGGGAGGCAGCAGUGGGGAAUAUUGCACAAUGGGCGCAAGCCUGAUGCAGCCAUGCCGCGUGUGUGAAGAAGGCCUUCGGGUUGUAAAGCACUUUCAGUCGUGAGGAAGGCGGUGUAGUUAAUAGCUGCAUCGUUUGACGUUAGCGACAGAAGAAGCACCGGCUAACUCCGUGCCAGCAGCCGCGGUAAUACGGAGGGUGCGAGCGUUAAUCGGAAUUACUGGGCGUAAAGCGCAUGCAGGUGGUUUGUUAAGUCAGAUGUGAAAGCCCGGGGCUCAACCUCGGAAUUGCAUUUGAAACUGGCAGACUAGAGUACUGUAGAGGGGGGUAGAAUUUCAGGUGUAGCGGUGAAAUGCGUAGAGAUCUGAAGGAAUACCGGUGGCGAAGGCGGCCCCCUGGACAGAUACUGACACUCAGAUGCGAAAGCGUGGGGAGCAAACAGGAUUAGAUACCCUGGUAGUCCACGCCGUAAACGAUGUCUACUUGGAGGUUGUGGCCUUGAGCCGUGGCUUUCGGAGCUAACGCGUUAAGUAGACCGCCUGGGGAGUACGGUCGCAAGAUUAAAACUCAAAUGAAUUGACGGGGGCCCGCACAAGCGGUGGAGCAUGUGGUUUAAUUCGAUGCAACGCGAAGAACCUUACCUACUCUUGACAUCCAGAGAACUUUCCAGAGAUGGAUUGGUGCCUUCGGGAACUCUGAGACAGGUGCUGCAUGGCUGUCGUCAGCUCGUGUUGUGAAAUGUUGGGUUAAGUCCCGCAACGAGCGCAACCCUUAUCCUUGUUUGCCAGCGAGUAAUGUCGGGAACUCCAGGGAGACUGCCGGUGAUAAACCGGAGGAAGGUGGGGACGACGUCAAGUCAUCAUGGCCCUUACGAGUAGGGCUACACACGUGCUACAAUGGCGCAUACAGAGGGCAGCCAACUUGCGAAAGUGAGCGAAUCCCAAAAAGUGCGUCGUAGUCCGGAUUGGAGUCUGCAACUCGACUCCAUGAAGUCGGAAUCGCUAGUAAUCGUGGAUCAGAAUGCCACGGUGAAUACGUUCCCGGGCCUUGUACACACCGCCCGUCACACCAUGGGAGUGGGCUGC